CGGUGGCUAAUACCGGAUAUGCCGAAAGGUGAAAGGUUAACUGCCUGGAGAUGAGCUCGCGUCUGAUUAGCUAGUUGGUAGGGUAAAAGCUUACCAAGGCGACGAUCAGUAGCUGGUCUGAGAGGACGAUCAGCCACACUGGGACUGAGACACGGCCCAGACUCCUACGGGAGGCAGCAGUGGGGAAUUUUCCGCAAUGGGCGAAAGCCUGACGGAGCAAUACCGCGUGAGGGAGGAAGGCUCUUGGGUUGUAAACCUCUUUUCUCAAGGAAGAAUAAUGACGGUACUUGAGGAAUAAGCAUCGGCUAACUCCGUGCCAGCAGCCGCGGUAAUACGGAGGAUGCAAGCGUUAUCCGGAAUGAUUGGGCGUAAAGCGUUCGCAGGUGGCAUUGAAAGUCUGCUGUCAAAGAGUCUGGCUCAACCAGAUACAGGCAGUGGAAACUUCAAAGCUAGAGUGCGGUAGGGGCAGAGGGAAUUCCUGGUGUAGCGGUGAAAUGCGUAGAGUUCAGGAAGAACACCGGUGGCGAAAGCGCUCUGCUAGGCCGCAACUGA
rnacentral:rRNA from 1 species